rnacentral:rRNA from 1 species
UACAGAGGUCCCAAGCGUUGUUCGGAUUCACUGGGCGUAAAGGGUGCGUAGGCGGUCGGGUAAGUCUGAUGUGAAAUCUCACAGCUUAACUGUGAAACUGCAUUGGAUACUAUUCGGCUAGAGAGUUGGAGGGGGGACUGGAAUUCUUGGUGUAGCAGUGAAAUGCGUAGAUAUCAAGAGGAACACCAGUGGCGAAGGCGGCUCACUGGUCCGGUACUGACGCUGAGGUGCGAAAGCGUGGGGGAGCAAACAGG